CAUCCCCCUCCCAUAUCGUAUUUACAGAGCUCUCUCUAUUCCACCACCAAAAACCCCUCUCUCUCUCUGGAUCUCAGCGCUUGAACAAGCCGCGAUUUGAAUUAAGUGUCUACUCUUUAAGAUUUAAUCUUCAAAGAUGCCUCUCAGACUCAACAUUAAGAGGAAACUUGCUCAAAGAUCAGAACGGGUAAAAUCUGUAGAUCUCCAUCCAACAGAGCCAUGGUAAAUCUUAUCUGCAAGAAUAACUUUUACUUAGUUUCUCUUUUGUCCCAA